UGAACAGCUAUAGACACCUAUGACAACCAGUUGAGACAUCUUUCUCUUUGGGAUUGUGAGUAUGCGCUCCAACAGGGGAACUGGUAGAAGGGGAAUGAUCCAUGCAUGGGAUGGGGUGGAGGAAACAAAUAAAAAGAGGUUGUUGCUGGUGGUGAUGUUUUGUAUUGGAAGGGACACUGGGGGUCAUUUUGCCUAAUAAUAAUAAUAAUAAUAAUAAUAAUAAUAAUAAUAAUAAAUUAUUUAUACCCCACCCAUCUGGCUCGGUUUACCCAACCACUCUGGGCGGCUUUCAGCAAAAUAUUAAAAUACAAUAAUUCAUCAAAUAUUAAAAGCUUCUCUAAACAGGGCUACCUUCAGAUUUCUUCUAAACAUCAGAUAGUUGUUUGUUUCUUUGACAUCUGAUGGGAGGGCGUUCCACAGGGCAGGCGCCACCACCGAGAUAGCCCUCUGCCUGAUUCCCUGUAACCUCACUUCUUGCAGCGAGCAAGGGAACCGCCGGAAGCCCCUUGGUGCUGGGCUUCAGUGUCUGGGCAGAACGAUGGGGGUGGAGAUGCUCCUUCAGGUAUACUGGGCAGAGGCCGUUUAGGGCUUUAAAUGUCAGCACCAAUACUUUGAAUUGUAUUUGGAAAUGUACUGGGAGCCAAUGUAGCAAUCUUGCAACACAGGAAUCUUAACUUAAAUUGUGGUGCUCAGAAUUGGACAGAAUAUUCCAGGUGUGGUCUGACCAAGGCAGAAUAGAGUAGUACAGUGGUACCUCAGGUUAAGUACUUAAUUCAUUCUGGAGGUCUGUUCUUAACCUGAAACCGUUCUUAACCUGAAGCACCACUUUAGCUAAUGGGGCCUCCUGCUGCUGCUGCGCCGCCAGAGCACGAUUUCUGUUCUUAUCCUGAAGCAAAGUUCUAAACCUGAAGCACUACUUCUAGGUUAGCUGAGUGUGUAACCUGAAGCAUAUGUAACCUGAAGUGUAUGUAACCCGAGGUACCACUGUACUAUUACUUUCCUUGAUCUGGACACACUAGACUUCUGUUGAUGCUGCCUACAAUAGCACUGGCCUUUUUUGCUGCUGCAUCACACUGUUGACGCCUGUUAAGCUUGUGGUCUACUAAGACCCCUAGAUCUUUUUCACAUGUACUGCUAGUAAGUCUUUAUUCACUGCUGUAUUUUCAUCCAUGUUGUUUGUGUCAGGUGCCAUUGAGGAGUAUAUACAGAAAUCCUUCCCACGUAAGGAGUUCCCAUUUCCAGCCAAUCAUCACCUCAAGAUACUAAGUGUAUAUAGAAGAAGAGGAAAGCCAGACAGGAAGGCAAUGAAUGUCCUUUUUGGAUUCCACCUUUACACUGUUGCCGCAUUGUUCAUCACUGCAGGAGUUUGGCCUGUUUAUAGUGCCUUUCCGAAAGAAUUAGGUGAAAUACCCCAAGCCAUGAACUUGGCUUUUUGGCUCAAGGGAAGGAUUAGCAGUCUGAAUGAAGAAAUAUGUCAGAAGCUAGACACAUGUCAGAUGGGUUGGGAGGAAAUUCCUCUCGGUCUACCAGAAAUGACUCGCCAAGCGAAAUGCUUCCCUCCUGACUUCGAAAAGGAAACAUGCCUGGGGGUCCUUUCACGUGGGCUUUUCGUAUAUAGCACGUUUUUGAAAUAUUUAAAAGAAACUUUAUUUGCCAGUGAGCCACACGAAAGCAAUUAUUAUUGGAAAGCAAUAGGGAUCCUCGCAGGUAACUUGAAGUCACUGAUGAAAAAUCCUGAGACUGUCGAGUUUGUGGCUCCAGACUUGGAGGCACUGCUAGCAGAGCAGAGUAGCUCGACACCUACACUUAUCAGGCAUGUCAUAUUUAAAAGAUGUAUGUUGUUUCUAGAUGCAACUGUAAGGGCAUAUAUCUACAUUAAAAGCUCCUGACACAGUGCUCUGGAUGCCACUUACAAGAAGAAAAUGAUAGAGAAUUCACACUGUAGCCGACAAGAGCAGGAUGGGGCUGGAUUUCUUUUUUUUCCCUUUUCCUUUUUCUUUUACUAUUAGUAUUAUUUUCUCAUAACACAAUAAGAUUACAACUACAAAAGAAGAAGAGACAAAGCAUAGAAACAGAAAAGGGGACGAAUACAAUACAAUAGAAAUAAAGAGAGGAAAAAGAGGGAAGAGGAAGAGGAAAAGAAACAUUAACAAAAGAUAAGAAAGAAGAACUUCCAAUCUUCCAUCUGUCAGUUACAUAAAAAAGGAAAAUCUGAUUAUUUAAAGCCUUCAGUUCAUGCAUACAUACAUCUUUUCCACUUUCUGUUAAACAAUGUAUCUUUUAAGUCAAGGUG
rnacentral:lncRNA from 1 species